UACGGAGGGUGCGAGCGUUGUCCGGAAUCACUGGGCGUAAAGGGUGCGUAGGCGGGUCUUUAAGUCAGGGGUGAAAUCCUGGAGCUCAACUCCAGAACUGCCUUUGAUACUGAAGAUCUUGAGUUCGGGAGAGGUGAGUGGAACUGCGAGUGUAGAGGUGAAAUUCGUAGAUAUUGGGAAGAACACCGGUGGCGAAGGCGGCGACCUGGUCCGAGACUGACGCUGAGGCGCGAAAGCGUGGGGAGCAAACAGG
rnacentral:rRNA from 1 species